rnacentral:rRNA from 1 species
AUUGCACGCUGGCGGCAGGCUUAACACAUGCAAGUCGAGCGGGGUGAUGGUGGUUGCACUAUCACUUAGCGGCGGACGGGUGAGUACUGCUUAGGAAUCUGCUCAUUAGUGGGGGACAACAUCUCGAAAGGGAUGCUGAUACCGCAUACGUCCUACGGGAGAAAGCAGGGGCUCACUUGUGACCUUGCGCCAAUGGAUGAGCCUAAGGCGGAUUAGCUAGUUGGUGGGGUAAAGGCCUACCAAGGCGACGAUCUGUAGCGGGGCUGAGAGGAUGAUCCGCCCCACUGGGGCUGAGACACGGCCCAGACUCCUACGGGAGGCAGCAGUGGGGAAUAUUGGACAAUGGGGGGAACCCUGAUCCAGCCAUGCCGCGUGUGUGAAGAAGGCCUUAUGGUUGUAAAGCACUUUGAGCGAGGAGGAGGCUCUUUUGGUUAAUACCCAAGAUGAGUGGACGUUACUCGCAGAAUAAGCACCGGCUAACUCUGUGCCAGCAGCCGCCGUAA